GGCCCUUCGGGGUACUCGAGUGGCGAACGGGUGAGUAACACGUGGGUGAUCUGCCCUGCACUUUGGGAUAAGCCUGGGAAACUGGGUCUAAUACCGAAUACACCCUUCUGAUCGCAUGGUUGGUGGGGGAAAGCUUUUGCGGUGUGGGAUGGGCCCGCGGCCUAUCAGCUUGUUGGUGGGGUGAUGGCCUACCAAGGCGACGACGGGUAGCCGGCCUGAGAGGGUGUCCGGCCACACUGGGACUGAGAUACGGCCCAGACUCCUACGGGAGGCAGCAGUGGGGAAUAUUGCACAAUGGGCGCAAGCCUGAUGCAGCGACGCCGCGUGGGGGAUGACGGCCUUCGGGUUGUAAACCUCUUUCAGCACAGACGAAGCGCAAGUGACGGUAUGUGCAGAAGAAGCACCGGCCAACUACGUGCCAGCAGCCGCGGUAAUACGUAGGGUGCGAGCGUUGUCCGGAAUUACUGGGCGUAAAGAGCUCGUAGGUGGUUUGUCGCGUUGUUCGUGAAAACUCACAACUCAAUUGUGGGCGUGCGGGCGAUACGGGCAGACUGGAGUACUGCAGGGGAGACUGGAAUUCCUGGUGUAGCGGUGGAAUGCGCAGAUAUCAGGAGGAACACCGGUGGCGAAGGCGGGUCUCUGGGCAGUAACUGACGCUGAGGAGCGAAAGCGUGGGGAGCGAACAGGAUUAGA
rnacentral:rRNA from 1 species